AUGGCCCCCAAGGCGGAGAAGAAGCCGGCGGCCGAGAAGACCCCUGCCGGGAAGAAGCCCAAGGCCGAGAAGCGGCUGCCGGCGGGCAAGAAGACCGCCUCCAAGGAGGGCGGCGGCGAGAAGAGGGGCCGGAAGAAGGGCAAGAAGAGCGUGGAGACCUACAAGAUCUACAUCUUCAAGGUGCUGAAGCAGGUGCACCCCGACAUCGGCAUCUCCUCCAAGGCCAUGUCCAUCAUGAACUCCUUCAUCAACGACAUCUUCGAGAAGCUCGCCGGCGAGGCCGCCAAGCUCGCCCGCUACAACAAGAAGCCCACCAUCACCUCCCGGGAGAUCCAGACCUCCGUCCGCCUCGUCCUCCCUGGGGAGCUCGCCAAGCACGCCGUCUCCGAGGGCACCAAGGCAGUCACCAAGUUCACCUCCUCUUAG
rnacentral:rRNA from 1 species